rnacentral:tRNA from 1 species
GGCGGUAUAGCUCAGUUGGCCAGAGCAUUCGGUUCAUACCCGAAGAGUCACAGGUUCAAAUCCUGUUGCCGCCACCA